rnacentral:rRNA from 1 species
GUACACUCUAAACCCUUUAACGAGGAUCAAUUGGAGGGCAAGUCUGGUGCCAGCAGCCGCGGUAAUUCCAGCUCCAAUAGCGUAUAUUAAAGUUGUUGCGGUUAAAAAGCUCGUAGUCGAAUCUGUGUCCCGCGCCGCCGGUUCAUCGCACGCGGUGUUUAACUGGCGUGUCCGCGGGACGUCCUGCCGGUGGGCUUUACCGCCCGCGAGGGUGGCGGCCCAACUCAAUCAUCCCACCGCGGUGCUCUUCACUGAGUGUCGAGGUGGGCCGGCACGUUUACUUUGAACAAAUUAGAGUGCUUAAAGCAGGCUAAAACUUCGCCUGAAUACCGUGUGCAUGGAAUAAUGGAAUAGGACCUCGGUUCUAUUUUGUUGGUUUUCGGAACCCCGAGGUAAUGAUUAAUAGGAACGGAUGGGGGCAUUCGUAUUGCGACGUUAGAGGUGAAAUUCUUGGAUCGUCGCAAGACGAACAGAAGCGAAAGCAUUUGCCAAAAACGUUUUCAUUGAUCAAGAAC